rnacentral:rRNA from 1 species
GACGAACGCUGGCGGCGUGCCUAAUACAUGCAAGUUGAGCGCGGAAGGCUGGUACUUGUACCAACUGGAUGAGCAGCGAACGGGGGAGUAACGCGUGGGGAAUCUGCCUUUGAGCGGGGGACAACAUUUGGAAACGAAUGCUAAUACAGCAUAAAAACUUUAAACAAAAGUUUUAAGUUUGAAAGAUGCAAUUGAAUCACUCAAAGAUGAUCCCGCGUUGUAUUAGCUAGUUGGUGAGGUAAAGGCUCACCAAGGCGAUGAUACAUAGCCGACCUGAGAGGAUGAUCGGCCACAUUGGGACUGAGACACGGCCCAAACUCCUACGGGAGGCAGCAGUAGGGAAUCUUCGGCAAUGGACGAAAGUCUGACCGAGCAACGCCGCGUGGAUGGAGAAGGUUUUCGGAUCGUAAAACUCUGUUGGUAGAGAAGAACGUUUGUGAGAGUGGAAAGCUCAUCAUGUGACGUUAACUACCCAGAAAGGGACGGCUAACUACGUG